rnacentral:rRNA from 1 species
CUUGUAGGCGGUCUGUCAAGUCUUGUGUGAAAUCCCUUGGCUCAACCAAGGAAGUGCACCAGAUACUAGCGGACUAGAGUGCCGGAGAGGGUCGCGGAAUUCCCGGUGUAGAGGUGAAAUUCGUAGAUAUCGGGAGGAACACCAGUGGCGAAGGCGGCGACCUGGACGGACACUGACGCUGAGACGCGAAAGCGUGGGGAGCAAACAGGAUUAGAUACCCUGGUAGUCCACGCUGUAAACGAUGGGUGCUAGGUGUGGCGGGUGUUGACCCCUGCCGUGCCGCAGCUAACGCAAUAAGCACCCCGCCUGGGAAGUACGGCCGCAAGGCUAAA